UAGGGUGACCAGAUGUCCCGAUUUUAUAGGUACAGUCCCGAUAUUCUGGGCUUUUUCUUGUAUAAGCACUUAUUACCCUCCACCUCCUGUCCUGAUUUUUCACACUUUCUAUCUGGUCACUCUAAUAAAGAAGCAGCAGCAG